AUUGAACGCUGGCGGCAGGCCUAACACAUGCAAGUCGAACGAGUGCCGGACGGGGGCGUAAUGUCUGGGAAACUGCCCGUUGGAGGGGGAUAAAACCUGGAAAAGGAAGCUAAAACAGCAUACCAUCGGAUGUGCCCAGAUGGGAUUAGCUGGAAGGUGGGGUAACGGCUCACCUAGGCGACGCUCCCUAGCUGGUCUGAGAGGAUGACCAGCCAAACGGGAACUGAGACACGGUCCAGACUCCUACGUGAGGCAGCAGUGGGGAAUAUUGCACAAUGGGCGCAAGCCUGAUGCAGCCAUGCCGCGUGUAUGAAGAGGGCCUUCGGGUUGUAAAGUACUUUCAGCGAGGAGGCGUUACUCGCAGAAGAAGCACCGGCUAACUCCGUGCCAGCAGCCGCGGUAAUAC
rnacentral:rRNA from 1 species